rnacentral:tRNA from 1 species
GCCCCAUUCGUCUAGUGGACCAGGACGUAGCCCUCUCAAGGCUAAAACAGGGGUUCGAAUCCCCUAUGGGGCA